AACGGGUGAGUAACACGUGACCAACCUACCCCGCGCUUCGGGACAACCUCGGGAAACCGGGGCUAAUACCGGAUAUGCCGGCACCCCCGCAUGGGGGAGCCGGGAAAGCGCAUGCGGCGCGGGAUGGGGUCGCGGCCCAUUAGCUAGUUGGCGGGGCAGUGGCCCACCAAGGCGACGAUGGGUAGCCGGGUUGAGAGACCGACCGGCCACAUUGGGACUGAGACACGGCCCAGACUCCUACGGGAGGCAGCAGUGGGGAAUCUUGCGCAAUGGGGGAAACCCUGACGCAGCAACGCCGCGUGCGGGAUGACGGCCUUCGGGUUGUAAACCGCUUUCAGCAGGGAAGAAACAGUGACGGUACCUGCAGAAGAAGCUCCGGCUAACUACGUGCCAGCAGCCGCGGUAAUACGUAGGGAGCGAGCGUUAUCCGGAUUCAUUGGGCGUAAAGCGCGCGCAGGCGGCUUGCCAAGCGGAACCUCUAAUCCGAGGGCUCAACCCCCGGCCGGGUUCCGAACUGGCAGGCUCGAGUGCGGUAGAGGAAGGCGGAAUUCCCGGUGUAG
rnacentral:rRNA from 1 species